rnacentral:pre_miRNA from 1 species
UUUUCUGGACGAAUGAAGAAAGUGGUUUCUUGAGAUAGAAUCUACUCCUGGUGAAGAUGCUGUGAA